UAGAAGUCAGCAAUUCUUGGGCACUGGUGGAUUGUCUUCCCAAUGUAAGUUUAAGGAUACUAAUGGGGAAACCUAUGAAAAGAAGGAAUGUAAUGCCUGGAGAGGAAGGAGCAGGAUUUUCCCUGAGGAAAAGCAAGUUCUUGUGCUGUGAGUCUUUGGCUCCUGCUGUAACUGAGGGGCGUCUUGCUGCAGUAUCAGAGUGAACUCUUGAYUGCCUGUUGGAGUUU
rnacentral:lncRNA from 1 species